rnacentral:rRNA from 1 species
GACGAAUGCUGGCUGCGUGCUUAACACAUGCAAGUCGAACGGUGAAAGGGAGCUUGCUCCCUGGAUCAGUGGCGAACGGGUGAGUAACACGUGGGCAACCUGCCCCUCACUCUGGGAUAACUCCGGGAAACCGGGGCUAAUACCGGAUACGACCUGGUGCGACAUCGCACCGGGUGGAAAGAACUUCGGUGAGGGAUGGGCCCGCGGCCUAUCAGCUUGUUGGUGGGGUAACGGCCCACCAAGGCGACGACGGGUAGCCGGCCUGAGAGGGCGACCGGCCACACUGGGACUGAGACACGGCCCAGACUCCUACGGGAGGCAGCAGUGGGGAAUAUUGCGCAAUGGGCGAAAGCCUGACGCAGCGACGCAGCGUGAGGGACGAAGGCCUUCGGGUUGUAAACCUCUUUCAGCGGGGACGAAGCGAAAGUGACGGUACCCGCAGAAGAAGCACCGGCUAACUACGUGCCAGCCGCCGCAGUAAAAC